GACGAACGCUGGCGGCGUGCUUAACACAUGCAAGUCGAACGGAAAGGCCCUGCUUUUGUGGGGUGCUCGAGUGGCGAACGGGUGAGUAACACGUGAGUAACCUGCCCUUGACUUUGGGAUAACUUCAGGAAACUGGGGCUAAUACCGGAUAGGAGCUCCUGCUGCAUGGUGGGGGUUGGAAAGUUUCGGCGGUUGGGGAUGGACUCGCGGCUUAUCAGCUUGUUGGUGGGGUAGUGGCUUACCAAGGCUUUGACGGGUAGCCGGCCUGAGAGGGUGACCGGCCACAUUGGGACUGAGAUACGGCCCAGACUCCUACGGGAGGCAGCAGUGGGGAAUAUUGCGCAAUGGGCGGAAGCCUGAUGCAGCAACGCCGCGUGCGGGAUGACGGCCUUCGGGUUGUAAACCGCUUUCGCCUGUGACGAAGCGUGAGUGACGGUAAUGGGUAAAGAAGCACCGGCUAACUACGUG
rnacentral:rRNA from 1 species